rnacentral:misc_RNA from 1 species
ACACCCUCAAGCUCUGCUUGGUGUUGGGCGUCUGUCCCGCCGUUCGGCGUGGACUCGCCCCAAAUGCAUUGGCGGCGGCCUUUGCCAGCCUCUCGCGCAGCGAAGAUUGCGCUUCUCGAGGCCCGGCGUCGGGUUUGCGUCCACGAAGCUCACCUCCACG